rnacentral:rRNA from 1 species
GGACCCGCACAAGCGGUGGAUUAUGUGGAUUAAUUCGAUGCAACGCGAAAAACCUUACCUACCCUUGACAUGUCAGAAAAAAUUCAGAGAUGAAUUUGUGCUCGAAAGAGAAUCUGAACACAGGUGCUGCAUGGCUGUCGUCAGCUCGUGUCGUGAGAUGUUGGGUUAAGUCCCGCAACGAGCGCAACCCUUGUCAUUAAUUGCCAGCAUUAAGUUGGGCACUUUAAUGAGACUGCCGGUGAUAAACCGGAGGAAGGUGGGGAUGACGUCAAGUCCUCAUGGCCCUUAUGGGUAGGGCUUCACACGUAAUACAAUGGCGCGUACAGAGGGUUGCCAACUCGUGAGAGGGAGCUAAUCUCAAAAAGCGCGUCGUAGUCCGGAUCGGAGUCUGCAACUCGACUCCGUGAAGUCGGAAUCGCUAGUAAUCGCGGAUCAGCAUGUCGCGGUGAAUACGUUCCCGGGUCUU